GGGGCGCGAGGGUGUGCAGAAGCACCCUCUUCUCCUGAAAAUUUCAUGUAUACCUCACUUGCUCUUUAUUCGCACCCCCUACCUUAGUUCUAGGUCGAUGUGGAAGCAGAAAUGAUGGCGAGCUCUCAGAUGACCUGCAUCCCGAUGAGGCCUUCGGCGGAGUUUUCUAGAUCUAAGAAAAUGUGCAUGCACUGCCUCAUCGAGGAGGAGGGCAUCAUGCUGAUGCCAGCGAUCUUCGACGCCCUCUUCACCGGCAUCCUAUAAAGCUCUAGAUUCAAGGCUGGAUUUGUCUCCGAAUAUGUCAUCUCCGCUUCCUGCCUCGGCUUUUGGAGAUGGCCGAUGUUGCUCGAGCGAUUUCCGCAGCGGCUUCUAAUGUUGCGUUCAUUGUUGAUGCUGGUAAUCAACUUUUCACCUCACUUUGUCUGCAUUUUGAACCCCUUUUGUAAUGGAUAAAGUAAAUAUGAUAGAUCUAUGGUAAAGAACAA